rnacentral:rRNA from 1 species
AUUGAACGCUGGCGGCAGGCGUAACACAUGCAAGUCGAGCGGCAGCGGAAGGAAGCUUGCUUCCUUGCCGGAGAGCGGCGGACGGGUGAGUAAGGUAUGGGGAUCUGGCCGAAGGCGGGGGAUAACCACUGGAAACGGUGGCUAGUACCGCAUGAUCUCUAAGGAGCAAAGUGGGGGACAGUUCAGGCCUCAAACCUACGGACGAACCCAUAUGGAAUUAGCUAGUAGGUGGGGUAAUGGCUCAACUAGGCGACGAUCUCUAGCUGGUCUGAGAGGAUGAUCAGCCACACUGGGACUGAGACACGGCCCAGACUCCUACGGGAGGCAGCAGUGGGGAAUAUUGCACAAUGGGCGCAAGCCUGAUGCAGCCAUGCCGCGUGUAUGAAGAAGGCCUUCGGGUUGUAAAGUACUUUCAGUCGUGAGGAAGGUGUUAAGGUUAAUAACCUUAGCAAUUGACGUUAGCGACAGAGGAAGCACCGGCUAACUCCGUGCCAGCCGCCGCAGUAA